AGCUUUGCACAGUGGCAGUAUCAUAGCCAAUGAGGUUUAUCCGAGGCAAGAUUAUUGCUAAAAAAAUAAAAUAAAAUAAAAUCCCUUCCUUGCCUGCGGAUGCCAUCAGAGCAAGGACCAAUGGAUUUAUCCCCAUUGGUCAGAUG